UACGGAGGGUGCGAGCGUUAAUCGGAAUUACUGGGCGUAAAGCACACGCAGGCGGUUUGUUAAGCUAGAUGUGAAAGCCCCGGGCUCAACCUGGGAUGGUCAUUUAGAACUGGCAGACUAGAGUCUUGGAGAGGGGAGUGGAAUUCCAGGUGUAGCGGUGAAAUGCGUAGAUAUCUGGAGGAACAUCAGUGGCGAAGGCGACUCCCUGGCCAAGACUGACGCUCAUGUGCGAAAGUGUGGGUAGCGAACAGG
rnacentral:rRNA from 1 species